GAUGGUGGUAUGCAAAUCUAAGGGGCAAGGUGGAUUGGGUAUUAAGAAUCUGGAGCAAUUCAAUAUGGCUCUCCUGUUGAAAUGGGCAUGAAAAUUCAUCAAAGGAUCUGAAACCCCUUGGGUGAAGUAAAUUUCAGGAGCCUAUUAUUCUAAAGGUAAAUUUGGUUUAAGGAUGAGAAGAAGUGUCAAAAGACUAUCUCCUAUAUGGAAGGAUAUAAACAAGCAACUAG
rnacentral:lncRNA from 1 species